rnacentral:tRNA from 1 species
GGCCUAUUGGUGAAGCGGUCAACACACAUGGUUUUCAUCCAUGCAUUCACGGGUUCGAGUCCCGUAUAGGUCACCA